CCCCAGCCAAUUCUGGUGAUCUACAUCCUCAUUUCCCCCCAGUGCCUUAGGAGCCAUCUCUGACUGACUGUCUCCUCCUCCCUUCAGCUCCCCAACCUCUUUUCUCCCUCAUCCAGUCAUGCCCUGCACUGAGACAGGGGAUGAGGAGCAGAAAGCAUCGUCAUCCUGGCAAGGAGCAGGGAAUGGGGGCAUUCCUGCAGCAGUGACAGUGGGAACUCGGUCAUAAAGCAAAAGACAGAGGGAGGAGAGGCUGGUAAUGGAUAAGAGGGAUGCAAGAUCCCGGUGCCCCAGACUCCACAUCAAACCAAUUUCCUGCAGCC
ensembl:lncRNA